UAGAUUUUGGAGGCAGUUUAAAUCAGGGCAUGUUCUAUUAGGAGACAAAACUUGUGCUCAGAUAAUUUUACAACACAUUAAUUGUUGUGUGUCCAGCUCUCAGAGGUAGAAAUGUACGGCUGAUCUCUGUUUCUGAUCAACAGAAGUUAUGCAAACUCUCUCACACCAGAUGUGGAGCAACACAGACCUGGACCAGCUUAAACGUGGGAAAUGCAAGAUAACUUGCUACCUGCUCGUGCACGACCGGAGAACAGGUGGAUUCAGUUACACCUUUAUGCUGAGCGAAGCAGACGGACUUCCACCUGCAGAGUGAACACAGUGUCCGACUCAGCACUCACCUGCAGGGUGCCAAGACUCUUGAUUUUACUUCCUGCAUCCUCUGCAUUCACUCCAACAACACGGUGGAGAUGAAAUAAGGUGCACUAGGGAGUAAUUGGGUCGUGAUUCAUUGCUGCUGCUGCAUUAACCUCUCCCACCACAUUAUUCAUCCUUUAAUCCAGACACAUUCAUCAGCUGUUUGUGAUUAUUAUAAACAGAACAAAUAACACACACAGAUCAAAGUGAUAUUAAAGUGCAGACAGAAGGAACUGAAUAAACUGCUGAGUCAUCC